rnacentral:antisense_RNA from 1 species
GAGCCAUGAUCAGGCCACUGCACUCCAGCUUGGGUGACAGAGUGAAACACUAUUUCUAAAAAUAAAAAUUAAAGAAUAAUGGAUGGCAUUAUUCAGCCAUGGGGAAGACCACCUGAAAUACUGUUACACACAGUGGGUCAAGACCACUUCAAAAGCCUUAUGAAAAUAGCACAACUCAGGCAAGGCUUUUAUUCCACAAAGAAAAUGCAGUACAUUUUUUAGUUCCUUUAAAAAAAAAAAACCUCAGAUUUACUCCAGACCCUAUGCACUUAGUCACUAAUCUAUACUGCAUCCCCAUCCUAUUUUUUCCAUUUGGUUCAAUUUUAUACAUUUAAAACUAACUGCUUUGGUCAAAUACGUACCAUCUUUGGUUCACAUUAAAAGAUUAUGGUUUAAAAUUGGCCAGAAGUUAAGAAAUAUCAACAAAAUAGGAAGUUUGAAAUACAAUUUAGGAAUGAGAAUGCUUUCAGAGCUUGUUUCAUUGAAGAUAAUAAUUUAUCUCAUAUUGAACUACAUUAACAACGUUCUAGCUAGGCACAGUGGCUCACACCUGUAAUCCCAGCACUUUAGGAGGCCAAGAUUCUAUUUCAUUAAAAAUAUAUCUCUCUCUCUCUAGAUUCUUUUUGUAUCUAUCUCUUCAUGUUAAGUACAUGGAAA